GGUGUUAAAGAAAGGGCCCAGAUAUUUGCAGAGUAUGUAAGGGGGGGGGGGAGGAGAUGCUCUGAUACGUUCAGAAUAAAGGAAAAUCACGUUAAAUCCUUAUGUACCCCAGGAGUUCAAAAAUAAGAGGAAAAAAUCUUCUGUGCCUGGUGUCCAACAACUUCUCAUCAGUCAGGGACUGAAGAGCCAUUUUUGCUAUGAACCGUGACUCUUCAUUUGUACCUACAGAUGACCAAAAGGUAACUGAGAACAGAACAAAACUUGAGCUUCACUUUGUAUCCUUUGUUGCUGUAAAUCUUGGGCGAGGUCUCUUCUCAGCUCUGCAUGAAUGUAUGCUGAUUAGUUAGAGAAUAUCUGCUUAGGAGCUGGCUGGACAAGGUUGGUUGGCUCUGAAAUUAUGUGAUCUCAUCUCCUGUCAAGACCCAGGACAUCAACAUAAGAAGUUUACUGGAACAUUCUGCUGCACCCAGAGGUCUCUGGCCAUUGUCUUGAAUGUGUGAUCACCUGGGCUGGACCCCAGCAAAGGUGGAGCCCACAGGACUGAGACCAACAUGGACAGAGGCAACCCUUCUCUAGGACUGAAACCAUCUCUCAGCUGUACAGAUUCUAGAACUCUGAUACCAGUACUGAGAUAAUGAUCAACUAGACCUCAGCUCACCAGUUGUUCCUAAAAGCCAGCCUCCCACCUUCCCAGGUAGGCCAGUCUGAACCCCUCUGUGAGUGUAUUUUCUCCAGCUACCUAAGCUGGAGUCCUUUCCUAUCUUCCCUGUAACUUUUCAAUUAAAGCUUUGCCU